GAUGAACGCUGGCGGCGUGCCUAAUACAUGCAAGUCGAGCGAACGGACGAGAAGCUUGCUUCUCUGAUGUUAGCGGUGGACGGGUGAGUAACACGUGGAUAACCUACCUAUAAGACUGGGAUAACUUCGGGAAACCGUAGCUAAUACCGGAUAAUAUUUUGAACCGCAUGGUUCAAAAGUGAAAGACGGUCUUGCUGUCACUUAUAGAUGGAUCCGCGCUGCAUUAGCUAGUUGGUAAGGUAACGGCUUACCAAGGCAACGAUGCAUAGCCGACCUGAGAGGGUGAUCGGCCACACUGGAACUGAGACACGGUCCAGACUCCUACGGGAGGCAGCAGUAGGGAAUCUUCCGCAAAGGGCGAAAGCCUGACGGAGCAACGCCGCGUGAGUGAUGAAGGUCUUCGGAUCGUAAAACUCUGUUAUUAGGGAAGAACAUAUGUGUAAGUAACUGUGCACAUCUUGACGGUACCUAAUCAGAAAGCCACGGCUAACUACGUG
rnacentral:rRNA from 1 species